AGCGCACAUGGUGGAUGCCUAGGCAGUAAGAGGCGAUGAAGGACGUAGUAGUCUGCGAUAAGCCCCGGUUAGCUGACAAACAAGCUUACCCGAGGGAUUUCCGAAUGGGGAAACCCACUCUGCUUGCAGAGUAUCCUGACUGAAUACAUAGGUCAGGAAGCGAACGCGGUGAACUGAAACAUCUAAGUAACCGUAGGAAAAGAAAUCAACCGAGAUUCCCUGAGUAGCGGCGAGCGAACGGGGAACAGCCCAGUUGCCAUCAAUCAAACAACUCUAGUGGAACGAUCUGGAAAGUUCGGCCAUAGACGGUGAUAGCCCCGUACACGAAAGAUGAGUUUGAGGAGCAACAAAGAGUAGGUCGGGGCACGAGAAACCUUGACUGAACAUGGGGGGACCAUCCUCCAAGGCUAAAUACUCCUUACUGACCGAUAGUGAACUAGUACCGUGAGGGAAAGGCGAAAAGAACCCCGGAGAGGGGAGUGAAAUAGAACCUGAAACCGUGUGCGUACAAGCAGUGGGAGCCUAUCUUCGGAUGGGUGACUGCGUACCUUUUGUAUAAUGGGUCAGCGAGUUGUUUUCAGUUGCAAGCUUAACCACUUAGGGGAGGCGUAGGGAAACCGAGUCUGAAUAGGGCGAUUUAGUAGCUGGGAGCAGACCCGAAACCAGGCGAUCUAUCCAUGGCCAGGGUGAAGGCAGGGUAAUACCUGCUGGAGGCCCGAACCGGGUAAUGUUGAAAAAUUAUCGGAUGAGCUGUGGAUAGGAGUGAAAGGCUAAUCAAGCCUGGAGAUAGCUGGUUCUCCUCGAAAGCUAUUUAGGUAGCGCCUCGUGUAUAACUCUGGGGGGUAGAGCACUGUUUCGGCUAGGGGGCCAUCCCGGCUUACCAAACCGAUGCAAACUCCGAAUACCCAGAAGUUCAAUCAUGGGAGACACACGGCGGGUGCUAACGUCCGUCGUGGAAAGGGAAACAACCCAGACCGCCAGCUAAGGUCCCCAAAUCAAAGCUAAGUGGGAAACGAAGUGGGAAGGCACAGACAGCCAGGAGGUUGGCUUAGAAGCAGCCACCCUUUAAAGAAAGCGUAAUAGCUCACUGGUCUAGUCGGCCCGCGCGGAAGAUUUAACGGGGCUCAAGCUUUGUACCGAAGCUGCGGAUGCAUAGAUUUAUCUAUGCAUGGUAGAGGAGCGUUCUGUAAGCCUGUGAAGGUGUGCUGUGAGGCAUGCUGGAGGUAUCAGAAGUGCGAAUGCUGACAUGAGUAACGAUAAUGCGGGUGAAAAACCCGCACGCCGAAAACCCAAGGAUUCCUGCGCAACGUUAAUCGGCGCAGGGUGAGUCGGCCCCUAAGGCGAGACCGAAAGGUGUAGUCGAUGGGAAACUGGUUAAUAUUCCAGUACUUGGUGUUACUGCGAUGGAGGGGACGGAGAAGGCUAGAUCUACCGGGCGUUGGUUGUCCCGGGGAAAGUAUGUAGGCAGAGAGCUUAGGCAAAUCCGGGCUCUUAAUGUCGAGAUACGAGACGACCGGUCUUUGUACCGGAAAGUGGUUGAUGCCAUGCUUCCAGGAAAAUCUUCUAAGCUUCAGGUAACACAGAACCGUACCGAAAACCAACACAGGUGGGUGGGGAGAGAAUCCUAAGGCGCUUGAGAAAACUCUGGUGAAGGAACUAGGCAAAUUGGUACCGUAACUUCGGGAGAAGGUACGCCCCUGCUGGUGAUGAGACUUGCUCUCUAAGCUGGUGGGGGUUGCAGUGACCAGGUGGCUGCGACUGUUUACUAAAAACACAGCACUCUGCAAACACGAAAGUGGACGUAUAGGGUGUGACGCCUGCCCGGUGCCGGAAGGUUAAUUGAUGGGGUUAGUCUUCGGACGAAGCUCUUGAUCGAAGCCCCGGUAAACGGCGGCCGUAACUAUAACGGUCCUAAGGUAGCGAAAUUCCUUGUCGGGUAAGUUCCGACCUGCACGAAUGGCGUAACGAUGGCCACACUGUCUCCACCAGAGACUCAGUGAAAUUGAAAUCGCUGUGAAGAUGCAGCGUACCCGCGGCAAGACGGAAAGACCCCGUGCACCUUUACUAUAGCUUUACACUGAAUUUUGAACAUGUUUGUGUAGGAUAGGUGGGAGGCUUUGAAGCGUGAUCGCUAGAUUGCGUGGAGCCAACCUUGAAAUACCACCCUGAUAUGUUUGGAGUUCUAACCCUAGGUCCAUUAUCUGGAUCGGGGACCGUGUAUGGUGGGUAGUUUGACUGGGGCGGUCUCCUCCUAAAGAGUAACGGAGGAGCACAAAGGUACUCUCAGUACGGUCGGACAUCGUACGUUGCGUGCAAAGGCAUAAGAGUGCUUGACUGCGAGACAGACACGUCGAGCAGGGGCGAAAGCCGGUCUUAGUGAUCCGGUGGUUCUGUAUGGAAGGGCCAUCGCUCAACGGAUAAAAGGUACGCCGGGGAUAACAGGCUGAUUCCUCCCAAGAGUCCACAUCGACGGAGGAGUUUGGCACCUCGAUGUCGGCUCAUCACAUCCUGGGGCUGUAGCAGGUCCCAAGGGUAUGGCUGUUCGCCAUUUAAAGUGGUACGCGAGCUGGGUUUAGAACGUCGUGAGACAGUUCGGUCCCUAUCUGCCGUGGGCGUUGGAAAUUUGAGAAGAGCUGCUCCUAGUACGAGAGGACCGGAGUGGACGUAUCUCUGGUGUUCCGGUUGUCACGCCAGUGGCAUUGCCGGGUAGCUAUAUACGGACGGGAUAACCGCUGAAAGCAUCUAAGCGGGAAGCCCCCUUCAAGAUUAGAUUUCCCUGGAGCCCUUGAGCUCCCUGAAGGGCCCUCGAAGACUACGAGGUUGAUAGGCUGGGUGUGGAAGUUCAGUAAUGGAUGAAGCUAACCAGUACUAAUUGCUCGUGAGGCUUGGCC
rnacentral:rRNA from 1 species